UACUACGGCCAUGCCACCCUGAACACGCCCGAUCCCAUCUGAUCUCGGAAGCUAAGCAGGGUCGGGCCUGGUUAGAACUUGGAUGGGAGGCUGCCUAGGAAGACCAGGUGCUGUUGGCG
rnacentral:rRNA from 1 species